CUUUUGAUUGGUUUAGGGCACAGGAAGUAAAUUUGUUUAAACAAGCAGGUGUCAGCAACUGAUAAUGAGCUACAUUUUUAGACAUGAUUUAGCAAAUUAAGAUUUUAAAUUGUACUUGUAGUGUCAAAUGUCUUGAAAUACUGUCAGCAUGAAGUAUUGUGUGAUGAAAACAAAGUGUAUUUACUACAAUGUAGUAAAUCAAAGGAGGUCCAAAGUGGCUGGAUAGUGAAGAACAGUUGUAACAGGUAAAACUCUUGCCCCAAGGAAAGAAUGUGCAUUAUCACCUGCUAAAAAAGGAAGAAACAGGGGGAUACUGACUGAUGUAUGGACUUUAACACCAGGUUUUUACCCUUCAAGAGUUGGCCAACUAGAGUGAAGCAGGAGAGUGGGCUGUGCUUGACUAAGAAAAGCUGGAUUUGUUGAGAGAUCAAUACGCAUUCAAGAUCCUUAAGAAGAGAAGGACACAAGCAACAUCAGUGGUAGAUGUCACUCCAGCCCCUGCUUUUCCGGUCUCGCCUGCUGCUUUCCAGGUCCCUCCAGCUGCCAAGAUCAGGUCUAGGCACUGGCUGCCAUCCAGGCCCCCCUGGCGGUUGCGGUCGUGUUCUCAAAUGGCUGCUGUACUGGACUACUGGUCCCACCACCAUAUUCGGUCAAGGUCUCUCCAAAUGCUGAAGUCCAGGUUCCUCCGGCCACUGCGGUUCAGGUACCCCCAACAGCUGUGACCUAGUUCUCUGCAGCAGCUGCGAUCUAAAUAUAUUGACCCACUGCGGAACACUGCGGUUAAUCGUUUUUUCCAUACAAUCUUCCACAAAUGCCUCAUUUUAUAAUGAAGUGUACAAUUCUUAUGUUCAUAUUUGUUUGUGUUAUAAAGAUGAUUUUCCUGCACAUUGUGUUUUUUUCCCUUAAAACUGCAUGGAGCUAUUACUUUUUUUACUGAAACAUAUCAGCACAAAAUUGUAAAAGACUUUAACAUACUUUAAUACAAAAAAGUGUUUAAACCCACAGGAAACCACCUUGCCAAAAACCCACAAAAACUUACUGAGCAGGUUAUUGUUUGCCAAAACC